UUCUGAUCAAGUGAGUGUGUAGUUACUUUCUUCUAAUGCAUAAUUAUGAAGUAUUUUAUACGAAAUGCGUGUUAUGUGUAUAAUUUUGUUGUUAUGUGUGUGAAUGUAUAUUCACUCUCUUCUAUCUCAUACAUCUGAUUUAUUUUCUAUGAAAUACGUGUUAUGUGGGUGUGCCUCAUCUGUUAUGUGGAAUAUGUAUUGAAUGAAAAUGCUAUACAGGUUUUAAACUAUGUAUAAAAAUAUAUAUUUUUAUCUACUAAUAUGUUGGGUAGAACAUGGGUAGAUAGUUGGUGUGUAAUAAACAGAUGAGAGGCCUCGAUGUUGUUGUUGUUGAUCUAGUUAUUCAACGGAGUAUGGAUAACGACCACAGACUCUUUCUAGACAGUCCAGUGGAACGCUAGCAGGUUCAUAACCUGUAGGUGUUGUGAACGAUGUGUUCACCGGUGUACUCUAUCCCCCUCAUGGUUGCCUUUAGGAUAUCUAUUGUUGAGGAAACCCCUAGUAAUGUCCGUCCCAAUGAAAAUCCUAGAUUAGGUCCCUUUUAGAUAGAUGUUGUUUUAGGGACGUAAAGUGAGGAUAACGGGAAUGGGUAAUCGGGUUAUCGUUGGUUGGUGAAAUUAAAUAUAAUUUAUUUAUUGUGGGUUGAAAACCCUAUAUGCUCACCAGGCUCCCAAGCCUGACCCACUCAGUUUUAUUUGUAUUACAGGAAGUGGCGCAAGGGCGUAAGAUGGAUGGAUCAUCGUGUUGUUUUGUUUACAAGUCUGUAUAUGUAUAUAUUUGUUGAAUGACUUGUAAUGUUUAUCGUUUAUGCUUUAUGGUCUGUAUCGGAACAUGACAUCCCGAGUUUUGAUUAUAUAAUGAAAUGCAUCUCUUGAUGAAAUGCUUUGAUAAAUAUUAUUUUAUCAUGUUUUGUUUUGGGAACAAAUUCCGCAACUCUUUCAAAUCAAAAGGAUUUACUCUGAAAAUAUUUAAAAGCAUAAAUGAAAAUCGGUCUUUUCUGGCCGAGAUUUUGGGGAUGUCACAGUUGGUAUCAGAGCAUUAGUUUAAGCGAACUAGGAAUUUGUAGGAUUUCUAGACUUAAACUUAGAAUGCUAAGUGGAAUUUUGAGAUGUGUGUCUGUUGGAUUUUAGACACGAGCACUAGUUUAUUUUAGGAAAGUUGCCUAAAAUGCUUUUAUGUGCUAAAUGUUAUAUGUUGCCAUAUAUGAUAUUAUUUGUUCGGAUCUACGGUUUGUUGCCAACCGGAUCUGAAGGUUUAUGUGUUUAGGAUUCUAAGCGUAUGUAUACGAUAUUAGAACUAGCAUGUAAUCGUUUGGAGUAAUAAGGUGAAAUUAUUCGGUGUGUAGAUCAAAAAUGGUGAGAACAAGGAGUGGCGUUGGAAACGCGGAUGAAAACAGGAAUCAACCGCCAGUGAUUGAGCAAAUACCUGUUGUAGCAGCAGCACCAGAACCAAUAACAAUGGCUGCGGUGCAAGCCAUGAUUCGGGCUAUGCUAGCCGAACAAAGGGAGGAGAUGCGACAAAUGUUGCAUAAUAAUAGGGAUGAACCUAUCAUACCUAUUGAGGAACCGGAAUUGAUUCCCGAGCAAUCGGAGGAAGGGAACAAUAGUCGCAUGGUGAGUCAAGUUGGGACUCAAGAGGAACGAAGGAACGAUCCAGAAAGGAGAAACAACAAGGAUGGGCGUAUGUACAAGAAUUUCUUGGGCGCCAAACCGCCAAGUCUUUCUGGGAGCCCAAAGCCUGUUGAGAUAAUGGAUUGGAUCUCCGAAAUGGAGAUGGUAUUUGAAAGUUGCGACUGUAGCAACAAACAGAAGACCGUCUUUGCGGUUAGACAACUGAAGACUGGAGUCUUGAGUUGGUGGAAGUUGUUGGCAGAUACUAUGCCACGAGGAGAAGCCCUGAAAAUGUCAUGGGAGGAGUUCUUGGAACAGUUAAGGGUGCAGUAUUGUUCGGAGAUAGAUCUGAUUGAUCUGAACAAUGAGUUUCAAAACUUAAAGAAGGGGAAGAUGAGCAUAGAUGACUAUGCUACUGCAUUUACUGAGAAGAUGAAGUUGUUUCCGUACCUAGUGCCAACGGAACUCUCCAAGAUUGAGAGGUUUGCUAACGGACUGCCUGCUGACUUUGGUCCGACAGUCAAAAUGGCAACCACUCUGAAAACGGCUGUUCGUGCAGCUAAGAAUGUGGAGGCCCAGCAGAAGGAAAAGGGUCUGGAAAGAAUAGAUGUUGGAGAAAAGAGGAAGUUCGAUGGAACUUCAGGGUCCAACAAGAAAAACAAGUUCUCGAAGUCUGGUUCGAGGGGAGGUGGAGGUGAAGCGAAAUGGUGCGACAAAUGUAAGAAGAAGCAUCAUGGAAGAUGUGAGGUGGCGAACACAUGCUACAAGUGUGGAAAGCCAGGGCACUAUGCCAAUGAGUGUACCCUCACAAAGAAAGUUUGCUAUGGUUGUGGUGAGGAGGGUCAUAUGUCGAGGGACUGCCCGAAGAAGAAGGAGGCAGCUAGACCCAACAUUCCGCCAAAGCCAAAGGCGAGAGCAUUCCAGAUGACACUGGAAGCUGCUAAAGAUGAAGCUGAUGUCGCUUCAGGUACCUUUCUCGUUAACGAAUUGCCUGCCCAAAUUUUAUUUGAUUCUGGAGCCAACUACUCCUUUAUAUCGCAUGAAUUUGGUAGAAAGCUAGCUUUGCCUGUUGUUAGACUAGAUAAUGCUUUAUUAGUCGAAGUUGCUAGUGGCAAGUUUGUACCUGUUAGCUAUCGCAUGAAAAACAUCUUAAUUGAUCUGAAUGGGAAUAAGUUCCACGAGGAAUUAUUGCCUAUCGAACUUAAUGGUUUCGACAUCGUAUUGGGAAUGGAUUGGCUUAGCGCCAACGACGCCGAAAUUUUAUGCAAGAAGAAAAUAGUCAAAGUAAACCCGCCUGGGAAAGAUUCGUUUAUGGUGUAUGGAGAUAAACGCAGAGUGAAUUCUGGAAUCAUUUCAUUGAUGAAAGCCAGAAAAUGUUUGACCAAGGGGUGUACAUCGUAUUUAGCAUUCGUGAUUGAUGCUAAGAAGGAAAAGAAGGUGAUGCAGAAUAUUCCAGUGGUGUGUGAUUAUCCGGAAGUAUUUCCCGAAGAUCUUCCUGGAUUACCGCCUGAUCGACAAGUGGAAUUCCGUAUUGACUUGUUGCCAGGAACAACGCCAAUUGCGAAAGCACCUUAUCGAUUAGCACCGACGGAGAUGAAGGAGCUAAUGAUGCAACUUCAGGAGUUAUUGGACAACGGUUUCAUUAGACCUAGUUCAUCGCCCUGGGGAGCUCCGGUGUUAUUUGUAAAGAAGAAAGAUGGAAGUAUGAGAAUGUGCAUCGAUUACAGAGAGCUGAACAAGGCAACAAUAAAGAAUAGAUAUCCGUUGCCGAGGAUUGAUGACCUGUUUGAUCAAUUGCAAGGUUCGAGCUAUUUCUCGAAGAUCGAUCUUAGGUCAGGAUAUCAUCAGCUAAAAGUAAGAGAGCAAGAUAUCGAGAAGACUGCAUUCAGAACUAGAUAUGGACACUACGAGUUCUUGGUUAUGUCGUUUGGACUAACCAAUGCUCCAGCAGCGUUCAUGGAUUUGAUGAAUAGGGUUUGUAACCCGUUCCUUGAUAAAUCCGUGAUAGUGUUCAUAGACGACAUUCUGAUUUACUCGAAAAGCCAGGAGGAGCAUGGCAGACACUUGCGAGAAGUGUUAGAAGUUUUGAAGAAGGAGAAGCUGUAUGCUAAGUUCUCCAAAUGUGAUUUUUGGAUUCGUGAAGUCCAAUUCUUGGGUCACGUGGUCAACCAAGAAGGGAUAAUGGUUGAUCCAGCGAAGAUCGAAGCUGUGACGAAGUGGGAACAACCGAAAAGUCCCACGGAGAUUCGAAGCUUUUUAGGAUUAGCCGGAUAUUACCGAAGGUUUAUCCAAGGCUUUUCUUCGAUCGCUAGUCCAUUGUCAGCUUUGACCCACAAAGGAGCUACUUAUGCUUGGGGUGAGAAGCAUAAGGAAGCAUUUGAGAAGCUAAAGGAGAAGCUAUGCGAGGCACCGAUACUUUCUCUACCCGAUGGAGUUGAAGACUUCGCUGUCUAUAGCGAUGCGUCUGGUGUUGGAUUGGGUUGUGUUUUGACCCAAAGAGAAAAGGUGAUAGCAUAUGCGUCUCGACAGCUGAAAGAGCAUGAAAAGAAUUACCCGACUCAUGAUUUGGAGUUGGCAGCGGUAGUUUUCGCUCUGAAAAUAUGGAGGCAUUACCUCUAUGGCACGAAGUGCAAACUUUUCACUGAUCAUAAGAGUCUCCAAUACCUCUUUAAUCAGAAAGAAUUGAAUAUGAGGCAACGACGCUGGCUAGAAUUACUUAAAGACUAUGACUGCGAGAUACUUUACCACCCCGGUAAAGCUAAUGUUGUUGCUGAUGCUCUCAGUCGGAAAGUCAAUCCCGAAAGGAAAAGGCCAAGAGCGUUGAGAAUUGAAGUUGUCUCAACUAUUUUGGAAAGUAUAAAGAAAGCUCAGAGCGAAGCUUCUGAGAAGAAUGACAGAAAGGAGGAACGUUUGGGCAAAACGUUGGUGUUCGGUGUAAACAGUCAUGGACUGAAGGUGUUCCAAGAUCGGAUUUGGAUACCUAAGACAGGAGGAGUCAGAGAUCUUCUGAUGGAAGAAGCUCACAAGACCAUGUACUCGAUUCAUCCGGGUAGCACUAAAAUGUAUAGGGACCUGAAACCCUACUACUGGUGGCCGACGAUGAAGCUUGAUGUUGCAAAGUAUGUGGCCGAGUGUGUGACUUGUGCGAGAGUCAAGACACAACAUCAGAAACCGUACGGGAGUUUAGAACCUUUGCCUGUGCCUAUGGGUAAGUGGGAAGACAUUGCUAUGGAUUUUGUCACUAAACUGCCCAGAACAAAGAAUGGUCACGACAUGAUUUGGGUGGUCGUUGAUCGAUUCACUAAGAGUGCGCAUUUCAUAGCGGCCAGGGAGAAAUGGUCUAUGGAGAAGCUUGCGAAUUCUUACGUGAAGGAAAUUGUGAGGCUUCACGGUGUUCCGUUAACGAUUGUGUCGGAUCGUGAUAGCCGUUUCACAUCGAGGUUUUGGAAAAGUCUACAAGAGGAAUUGGGUACCAAGUUGUGUUUAAGUACAGCUUACCAUCCGCAGACUGAUGGUCAGAGCGAACGAACGAUACAAACACUUGAAGAUAUGCUGAGAGCAUGUACUCUGGAAUUCCUAGGUAAUUGGGAUGAACAUUUACCGUUGGUAGAAUUUUCCUAUAAUAAUAGUUUCCACUCGAGCAUUAAGAUGGCACCUUACCAAGCUUUGUAUGGACAGAAGUGUCGUACGCCGUCUUGUUGGCUUGAGGCUGGGGAAAAGCAGUUUAUGGGACCGGAGUUGGUUCAUCAAACUGCUGAAAAGUUGAAAAUAAUUAGGGAAAGAAUGUUAGCAGCUCAGGAUCGUCAAAAGAGCUAUGCUGACAAGAAGCGGAGACCGAUAACUUUUGAGGUUGGGGAUUCGGUUUUGCUUAAAGUCUCGCCGUGGAAGGGACUUAUAAGAUUUGGUAAAAGGGGAAAGUUGAGUCCAAGGUUUAUUGGACCGUUUAAAGUUCUUCAGAGGAUUGGGAACCAAGCUUACAAGCUCGAAUUACCCGAAGAACUGAAUGGAAUUCACAACACUUUUCAUGUGUGUUAUUUGAGGAAGUUCACGGGAGAAGUUCCCGAUAUAAUUCCAAUUUCUGAAUUGAGAAUUGAUGAGAACAAAAGGUUGAUUGAAGAACCAGAGGCAAUCGUUGACCGAAAGACUAAGAAGUUGUGACGCAAGAUGGUCGGGUUAGUGCUUGUCCGAUGGAAACACACGAAUGGGCCGAAUCUCACCUGGGAGACGGAGAGUGACAUGAUGCGUCGCUAUCCGCAUUUGUUUGUUGAUGUGUGAUUCCGAGGACGGAAUCAUUCUAAGGUGGAGAGAAUUGUAACGCCUGUGUUUCUGGGUUGUCAUUAAUGUUGAUAUACUAGUCUAGGUUAACCUUUGUAACCCGUUUUGAAAUAAUAGAAGUAUCUUAUUUGAGUAUUAUGUGUUUUGUGCUUAAUUGCUUAAUUAUGUGAUUUGAUUAAUUAAGAAUAAAAAUAAGCGUCAUAAUUUAAUUGUAAAAUAAACUUGAUAUCUUUGCAUAAAGUUGUAGUGGCCGAAACGAGGUUUCCGAAUAUAUAUAAAACGCCAAAAUCUGACUUCGUAUGAGGAAGUUAUGAUUUUCUGAAGUCUCGACUUAGCAGUAUGCAGCCCGAAUACUCGAUUUGAGUUCGAGCGGUUUUUAGUUGAAACAAUCUAAACGAGAAACGAAGGUCUCGUUAGUGGUAGCGAAGCGAUAAGGAGAUAGGCGAGAACGAACGUCGGAUAAAGAAGUUAUGAAUUUAUAACGAAGUUUUCCUGUCCAGGCCUACUAAAAAUAAAUAAUAAAAAUAAAUUCAAAAUAAGCCGACGGAGUCUAAAUGAAAGUUGUAGAGCGUAGUCUCACCUACGCGUGGAUAUAAAGAACGUUGAAAACGGAGUUCGUAAGAAGAAGAUGUGAAUUUUCGAAGUUUAUUAAAUAAUUAAAAUUAAAAUUUAAUUAUUAAAUUCCGAUAUUAUCCGAAGGAAGGGGGGGAGUCAUCGAUCCGAUCCGAACUACGCCCAGCGUAGUUGAGUACGCCCAGCAUACCCCGAUGCAUGCACCACCUCGGACUCGAGUGCUCCGAUGACGCAUGCAAUGACGAACCUAGGCGUACGCCCCACGUAAAGUUGUACGCCCAGCGUACUGCGAGGCCUCAACCCCCUAUAAAAGGCUUGCGAGGGCAGCCGAGAGUUUUGCUCUUUUUCUCUUCUCUCUCUCUCUCUCUCUCUCUCUCCCAUUUUGCAUCGUUUUGCGUGCNCCCAGCGUAAUGCGAGGCCUCAGCCCCCUAUAAAAGGCUUGCGAGGGCAGCCGAGAGUUUUGCUCUUUUUCUCUUCUCUCUCUCUCUCUCUCUCUCUCUCCCAUUUUGCAUCGUUUUGCGUGCCAGAAGUAUCCCGAAGCCCCGGUAUUAUUCCCGAGCCCCGAAGCGAGAUCCAAAGUCCCGAAGAUCCCAAGAAGUGCGAUUCCCGAGCCAAAGCUUUGCCCGCGAGCAGCCCAGUUUUUGUGAAGAUCUUCUAGAUCUACUGAAGAAUACUACUUCUGCAAGUCGUAGUGCUGUCCGAUCAUCUUCUGAUCAAGUGAGUGUGUAGUUACUUUCUUCUAACGUAUAAUUAUGAAGUAUUCUAUACGAAAUACGUGUUAUGUGUAUAAUUUUGUUGUUAUGUGUGUGAAUGUAUAUUCACUCUCUUCUAUCUAAUAGAUCUGAUUUAUUUUCUCUGAAAUACGUCUUAUGUGGGUGUGCCUCGUCUGUUAUGUGGAAUAUGUAUUGAAUGAAAAUGCUAUACAGGUUUUAAACUAUGUAUAAAAAUAUAUAUUUUUAUCUACUAAUAUGUUGGGUAGAACAUGGGUAGAUACUUGGUGUGUAAUAAACAGAUGAGAGGCCUCGAUGUUGUUGUUGUUGAUCUAGU
rnacentral:lncRNA from 1 species